AGAGUUUGAUCCUGGCUCAGGAUGAACGCUGGCGGCGUGCCUAAUACAUGCAAGUCGAGCGAACGGACGAGAAGCUUGCUUCUCUGAUGUUAGCGGCGGACGGGUGAGUAACACGUGGAUAACCUACCUAUAAGACUGGGAUAACUUCGGGAAACCGGAGCUAAUACCGGAUAAUAUUUUGAACCGCAUGGUUCAAAAGUGAAAGACGGUCUUGCUGUCACUUAUAGAUGGAUCCGCGCUGCAUUAGCUAGUUGGUAAGGUAACGGCUUACCAAGGCAACGAUGCAUAGCCGACCUGAGAGGGUGAUCGGCCACACUGGAACUGAGACACGGUCCAGACUCCUACGGGAGGCAGCAGUAGGGAAUCUUCCGCAAUGGGCGAAAGCCUGACGGAGCAACGCCGCGUGAGUGAUGAAGGUCUUCGGAUCGUAAAACUCUGUUAUUAGGGAAGAACAUAUGUGUAAGUAACUGUGCACAUCUUGACGGUACCUAAUCAGAAAGCCACGGCUAACUACGUGCCAGCAGCCGCGGUAAUACGUAGGUGGCAAGCGUUAUCCGGAAUUAUUGGGCGUAAAGCGCGCGUAGGCGGUUUUUUAAGUCUGAUGUGAAAGCCCACGGCUCAACCGUGGAGGGUCAUUGGAAACUGGAAAACUUGAGUGCAGAAGAGGAAAGUGGAAUUCCAUGUGUAGCGGUGAAAUGCGCAGAGAUAUGGAGGAACACCAGUGGCGAAGGCGACUUUCUGGUCUGUAACUGACGCUGAUGUGCGAAAGCGUGGGGAUCAAACAGGAUUAGAUACCCUGGUAGUCCACGCCGUAAACGAUGAGUGCUAAGUGUUAGGGGGUUUCCGCCCCUUAGUGCUGCAGCUAACGCAUUAAGCACUCCGCCUGGGGAGUACGACCGCAAGGUUGAAACUCAAAGGAAUUGACGGGGACCCGCACAAGCGGUGGAGCAUGUGGUUUAAUUCGAAGCAACGCGAAGAACCUUACCAAAUCUUGACAUCCUUUGACAACUCUAGAGAUAGAGCUUUCCCCUUCGGGGGACAAAGUGACAGGUGGUGCAUGGUUGUCGUCAGCUCGUGUCGUGAGAUGUUGGGUUAAGUCCCGCAACGAGCGCAACCCUUAAGCUUAGUUGCCAUCAUUAAGUUGGGCACUCUAAGUUGACUGCCGGUGACAAACCGGAGGAAGGUGGGGAUGACGUCAAAUCAUCAUGCCCCUUAUGAUUUGGGCUACACACGUGCUACAAUGGACAAUACAAAGGGCAGCGAAACCGUGAGGUCAAGCAAAUCCCAUAAAGUUGUUCUCAGUUCGGAUUGUAGUCUGCAAC
rnacentral:rRNA from 1 species